AUUGAACGCUGGCGGCAUGCCUAACACAUGCAAGUCGAACGCGAAAGCCCUUUGGGGUGAGUAGAGUGGCGGACGGGUGAGUAAUGUGUGGGAAUCUGCCUUGCAGUGGGGGACAACCCGGGGAAACUCGGGCUAAUACCGCAUACGWCCUACGGGGGAAAGGGGGCCUCACGGCUCUCGCUGCAAGAUGAGCCCACAUCCGAUUAGCUAGUUGGCAGGGUAAAGGCCUACCAAGGCGACGAUCGGUAGCUGGUCUGAGAGGAUGACCAGCCACACUGGGACUGAGACACGGCCCAGACUCCUACGGGAGGCAGCAGUGGGGAAUAUUGGACAAUGGGCGCAAGCCUGAUCCAGCAAUGCCGCGUGUGUGAAGAAGGCCUGCGGGUUGUAAAGCACUUUCAGUGGGGAAGAACSCCUUGUGGUUAAUACCCAUGAGGGUUGACGUUACCCACAGAAGAAGCACCGGCUAACUCCGUGC
rnacentral:rRNA from 1 species